UGCAAGUCGAGCGGAGACAGUGAGUAGCUUGCUAUGAGCUGUUUUAGCGGCGGACGGGUGAGUAACGCGUGAGCAACCUUUCCCAGACAGGGGAAUAACACACCGAAAGGUGUACUAAUACCGCAUAAGACCACGGGAUCACAUGGUUCUGAGGUAAAAGAUUUAUCGGUUUGGGGUGGGCUCGCGUCCGAUUAGGUAGUUGGUGAGGUAACGGCCCACCAAGCCGACGAUCGGUAGCCGACCUGAGAGGGUGAUCGGCCACAUUGGGACCGAGACACGGCCCAAACUCCUACGGGAGGCAGCAGUGGGGAAUAUUGGGCAAUGGAGGAAACUCUGACCCAGCAACGCCGCGUGGAGGAAGAAGGUUUUCGGAUCGUAAACUCCUGUCCUUGGAGACGAGUAGAAGACGGUAUCCAAGGAGGAAGCCCCGGCUAACUACGUGCCAGCAGCCGCGGUAAUACGUAGGGGGCAAGCGUUGUCCGGAAUAAUUGGGCGUAAAGGGCGCGUAGGCGGCUCGGUAAGUCUGGAGUGAAAGUCCUGCUUUUAAGGUGGGAAUUGCUUUGGAUACUGUCGGGCUUGAGUGCAGGAGAGGUUAGUGGAAUUCCCAGUGUAGCGGUGAAAUGCGUAGAGAUUGGGAGGAACACCAGUGGCGAAGGCGACUAACUGGACUGUAACUGACGCUGAGGCGCGAAAGUGUGGGGAGCAAACAGGAUUAGAUACCCUGGUAGUCCACACUGUAAACG
rnacentral:rRNA from 1 species